GCCGCUGUAGCUCAGUUGGUAGAGCGCCCGCCUUGUAAGCGGAUGGUCAGGGGUUCGAGCCCCCUCAGCGGCUCC
rnacentral:tRNA from 1 species